GACGAACGCUGGCGGCGUGCCUAACACAUGCAAGUCGAGCGAGGAAGGGGAGAUAGCUUGCUAACUCCUAUUUCUAGCGGCGGACGGGUGAGUAACGCGUGAGCAACCUGCCUUUAUCAGGGGGAUAACGCAUCGAAAGAUGUGCUAAUACCGCAUAAGACCACAGCCUCACAUGGGGCAGGGGUCAAAGGAGCAAUCCGGAUAAAGAUGGGCUCGCGUCCGAUUAGCUAGUUGGUGAGAUAACAGCCCACCAAGGCGACGAUCGGUAGCCGACCUGAGAGGGUGAUCGGCCACAUUGGAACUGAGAGACGGUCCAGACUCCUACGGGAGGCAGCAGUGGGGAAUAUUGGGCAAUGGGCGAAAGCCUGACCCAGCAACGCCGCGUGAGGGAAGAAGGGUUUCGGCUCGUAAACCUCUGUCCUAUGGGACGAAGGAAGUGACGGUAC
rnacentral:rRNA from 1 species